AUUGAACGCUGGCGGCAGGCCUAACACAUGCAAGUCGAGCGGAUGAGUGGAGCUUGCUCCAUGAUUCAGCGGCGGACGGGUGAGUAAUGCCUAGGAAUCUGCCCUGGUAGUGGGGGACAACGUUUCGAAAGGAACGCUAAUACCGCAUACGUCCUACGGGAGAAAGCAGGGGACCUUCGGGCCUUGCGCUAUCAGAUGAGCCUAGGUCGGAUUAGCUAGUAGGUGAGGUAAUGGCUCACCUAGGCGACGAUCCGUAACUGGUCUGAGAGGAUGAUCAGUCACACUGGAACUGAGACACGGUCCAGACUCCUACGGGAGGCAGCAUGGGGAAUAUUGGACAAUGGGCGAAAGACCUGAUCCAGCCAUGCCGCGUGUGUGAAGAAGGU
rnacentral:rRNA from 1 species